GGGCCCGUAGCUCAGCUUGGAUAGAGCGACUGGUUCCGAGCCCAGUAACCGGGAACGGAAGUCGAAGCUUCGGUCCA
rnacentral:tRNA from 4 species